rnacentral:rRNA from 1 species
CCUACGGGUGGCUGCAGUGGGGGAUAUUGCACAAUGGGGGAAACCCUGAUGCAGCAACGCCGCGUGAGUGAAGAAGGUCUUCGGAUUGUAAAGCUCUGUUCUUGGUGAAGAUAAUGACGGUAGCCAAGGAGAAAGCUGCGGCCCAAUACGUGCCAGCAGCCGUGGUAAUACGUAGGGAGCGAGCGUUGUCCGGAUUUACUGGGUGUAAAGGGUGUGCAGGCGGCUCUGCAAGUCAGGCGUGAAAGCUAGGGGGUCAACCCCUAAACUGCGCUUGAAACUGGGGGUCUUGAGUGAAGUAGAGGCAGGCGGAAUUCGCGGUGUAGCGGUGAAAUGCGUAGAGAGCGGGAAGAACAC